AACGUAGGAGACGAGCGUUAUCCGGAUUUACUGGGCGUAAAGCGCGUGCAGGCGGUUUAUUAAGUCACUUGUGAAAGCGCCCGGCUCAACUGGGCGAGGCCGUGUGAGACUGAUAGACUUGAGAGAGGUAGAGGCGAAUGGAAUUCCGGGUGGAGUGGUGAAAUGCGUAGAUAUCGGGAGGAACACCAGUGGCGAAGGCGACUUCCUGGCCUGUUCUUGACGCUGAGGCGCGAAAGCUGGGGUAGCAAACGGG
rnacentral:rRNA from 1 species